GAGGAAGAUGAAGAUGAUCAAUCGUCUUCAUCAGAGAAAGAUGAAGAGGCGCCAUCAAUCGCCUUCAUCUUUAGCCAAUCAAAAUCCUCCAUAACGCUCUGCUACCUCAAAUAAAUAAAAAUCUUACAUUGAACAAGUCGUAGAUAAACUUCUUGAGGUGACGUUGUUUCAAAUCAAGCUAAGUAUUUCUAACCUUACUAAACCUUCAUCUUCACUCUCUUUAUAAGUUAGUUUCUUGCACAGAUUCUUAUCCAUGAAUAUGUUUGCCGCAAAGAUCGAUCUUCUUGAUCUCAGAAGCUUAUGAUUGGGAUGAUCCAAAGAAAAUCUCAGGUAAAAUCAAUUUUUCAUUUAUAGAUCUGAACUCUAUGGAUUGAAAUCCAGCUUUUCUUAACACCACCAUUUCUUAUUUUUGUGAGGUUAUGUUUAGAUCUAGUACUCCUCUAUAUGUUUGUGUGAACAAAAGAAUACUUUAGUUCAUCGACCAGUUUUGUCACGCUCCAACCCUAUACUCUGGAUGUGGCUGAGAAUCGGAAAUCAUUAUUGGUCUGAACUUUAUGGAUUGAAAUCCAGCUUUUUUCAACACCACCAUCAAAACUCAAAUUCACAAAAAUAUUACUUAUUUUUGUGAGGUUAUGUUUAGAUCUAGUACUUUUCUGCAUGUUUGUUUGAACAAAAGAAUACUUUAGUUCAUCGACUAGUUUUUUCACGCUCCGACCCUAUACCCCGGAUGUGGCUGACAAUCAUAAAUCAUUACUGGUCUCAAGUAAGCUCUUGGACUGAUUUACUACUCAACGGAAGUCUAAACACUUAUGUGGAAACUUACAAGUGAUAAACAUUUACACCUCUGAACAUGUUUUCUGAAAAAUCUAAAAUAUAAGUAUGAAUCAUCAUAACAAUAAUUUUUAAAAUAUCUUAAGAUCAAGAUCUACUUGACUCUGUAACUUGUCUAUGAAGCCUCUGCUGAACUAAGAUAGGUUUCGGGACAAGAUCCACGAUUAUCUGAAUAAUAAAUUAGAAUGUCUACUAAAUGAUAAAAUAAAUAACUAAUCUGGAGCCUUCCGAAAGGAGUGAAGUCUCACCGAAAUAUAAUGGAGAGGAUCUCAGUGAAGCGUCUGAUCAAUCCUGAGUUCAUUUAUUUGUAUCAUUAGAAGAUGCAACACCAAAUGGUGUUAGUACAUGAAAUGUACGGUAUGUGAAAUAGUUAAAUAAAACAUUGGUUAGACUGAACAUACGUAAUCGAGGACCAACUCAAAGAAAGAACGAGUAUUGGGUAAUUGUGUAAAGUAAAGCAUGUGAAUGCAUUGAAAACAAUAAAGCUUUACAACUUAGAUAUAUGCAAUGAUAUCAAAUGCUAAAAUAGUAUACUUUACUUUUUCUUGGGGAGUUUAUCUAACUGAAAACCAACAAUAUUAACCUCAUGAUGAUACAAUGUCUUGCUCACAUUGUUGGAGUCAUCCAACACUUUGUUAGGGUGUAGGAUGAACUGAACCAGUCGAUCCAAUAACUAGGCCCUUUCCUGGGGCUUUAUGAGGAGUUACCCGAAUCAAUGACAUGAUCCUAUCCUACGCUAGAUGAUCAAUUAUGGGGUUGGGUUAUCUAAGACCUUACUCAACUUUAUGCUCAAUACUACUCAAAAUCUUCCGGUUGUGUCUUACCAUAUGUAAUAAAAAAAACACGAAAUAUGUGGGGUUUAUAUUUUGUGUUCUUUAUUACAUAUGGGACACUCCUAAAGAGACCUCUCAAAGUCAUUUUCUAAAACGCUUUCCUCGUUUACCUUGUCUUAAUAUCUGGAAAACGAUCCACCUUAGUGGGCAAGGGAAAUAUUGGUGCACUCGAUUAAAGAUGUUCACAAAAAGAUGUAUCGGGACCAACCAAGGUAUAGUUCUAUCUAGAACUCUUUACCUUGGUUGGUCAUGACGCAUUUCCAUUGUAAACUUCUUUACUAAUGGAGUGCACCAAUAUUUCCUAGCUCAUUCAGGUAGAUCUUUUCCUAGAUCUAUAGACAAGGUAAAAGAGAGAUUGUAUUAGAAAACCAAUUGGAGAUGUCUCUUUAAGAAAAUUACCAUAUGUAGUAAAGAACACAAAAUAUGUCAAGUGGGUAUAUAUUUUGUGCUCUUUAUUUUAUAUGGGACACACUUAAAAUGACCUCUCAAAGUCAUUUUCUAAAACACUUUCCUCUUUGACCUUGUCUUUAGAGCUGGAAAAAGAUCUUCCUUAGUGAGAAAGUAAAAUAUUGGUGCACUUGAUUAGUAAGGAAAUUUACUUGGGAAAUGCAUCAUGACCGACCAAGGUAAAGAUUUCUAGACACUUGAUUAGUAAGGAAAUUUACUUGGGAAAUGCAUCAUGACCGACCAAGGUAAAGAUUUCUAGAUAGAACUCUUUACCUUGGUUGGUCAUGAUGCAUUUCCUUUGUAAACUUCUUUACUAAUGGAAUGAACCAAUAUUUUCCUAGCUCAUUCAGGUGGGUGUUUUCCUAACUCUAAAGAAAAGGUAAAAGAGGAGAGCGUUUUAGAAAACCACUUUGAGAGAUCUUUUUAAGAGUGAUCCCAUGUGUAAUAAAGAACACAAAAUAGGUCAAGUGGGGUAUAUAUUUUGUGUUCUUUUUACAUGCGCGACACUCUUAAAGAGACCUCUCAAAAUCAUUUUCUAAAACAUUAUACUUGUCUUUAGAGAUGGAAAAAGAUCCACCUGAGUGGGCAAGUAAAAUAUUGGUGCACUCGAUUUGUAAGGAAGUUUACUAGGGAAAUGCAUCAUGACCAACCAAGGUAAAGACUUCUAAAUAGAACUCUUUACCUUGGUUGGUCCAGAGGCAUUUCCUUUGUAAACUUCUUUACUAAUGGAAUGCACCAAUAUUUUCCUAGCUCAUUCAGUUGGGUGUUUUCCUAUCUCUAAAGACAAGGUAAAAGAGGAGAGCACUUUAGAAAACCACUUUGAGAGGUCUUUUUAAGAGUGUUCCCAUGUGUAAUAAAGAACACAAAAUAGGUCAAGUGGGGUAUAUAUUUUGUGUUCUUUUUACAUACGGGACACUCUUAAAGAGACCUCUCAAAAUCAUUUUCUAAAACGUUAUACGUGUCGUUAGAGAUGGAAAAAGAUUCACCUAAGUGGGCAAGUAAAAUAUUGGUGCACUCGAUUUGUAAGGAAGUUUACUAGGGAAAUGCAUCAUGACCAGCCAAAGUAAAGAUUUCUAAAUAGAACUCUUUACCUUGGUUGGUCCAGAUGCGUUCCCUUUAUAAACUUCUUUACUAAUGGAAUGCACCAAUAUUUUCCUAUCUCAUUCAGUUGGGUGUUUUCCUAUCUCUAAAAACAAGGUAAAAGAGGAGAGCAUUUUAGAAAACCACUUUGAGAGGUCUUUUUAAGAUUGUUCCCAUGUGUAAUAAAGAACACAAAAUAGGUCAAGUGGGGUAUAUAUUUUGUGUUCUUUUUACAUACGGGACACUCUUAAAGAGACCUCUCAAAAUCAUUUUCUAAAACGUUAUACUUGUCUUUUGAGAUGGAAAAAGAUACACCUAAGUGGGCAAGUAAAAUAUUGAUGCACUCGAUUUGUAAGGAAGUUUACUAGGGAAAUGCAUCAUGACCAGCCAAGGUAAAGACUUCUAAAUAGAACUCUUUACCUUGGUUGGUCCAGAUGCGUUCCCUUUAUAAACUUCUUUACUAAUGGAAUGCACCAAUAUUUUCCUAGCUCAUUCAGUUGGGUGUUUUCUAUCUCUAAAAACAAGGUAAAAGAGGAGAGCAUUUCAGAAAACCACUUUGAGAGGUCUUUUUAAGAGUGUUCCCAUGUGUAAUAAAGAACACAAAAUAAGUCAAGUGGGGUAUAUAUUUUGUGUUCUUUUUACAUACGGGACACUCUUAAAGAGACCUCUCAAAAUCAUUUUCUAAAACGUUAUACUUGUCUUUAGAGAUGGAAAAAGAUCCACCUGAGUGGGCAAGUAAAAUAUUGGUGCACUCGAUUUGUAAGGAAGUUUACUAGGGAAACGCAUCAUGACCAACCAAGGUAAAGAAUUCUAAAUAGAACUCUUUACCUUGCCUUGGUUGGUCCCGAUGCGUUCCCUUUAUAAACUUCUUUACUAAUGGAAUGCACCAAUAUUUUCCUAGCUCAUUCAGGUGGGUGUUUUCCUAUCUCUAAAGACAAGGUAAAAGAGGAGAGUGUUUUAGAAAACCACUUUGAGAGGUCUUUUUAAGAGUGUUCCCAUGUGUAAUAAAGAACACAUAUCUAUGACAUCUAGAUACGUAAUCAAUAUUUAGCAUUUGCUGAUCCUCUCAUACCCUUCUUAUUCUUCCUUGAGAUAAUCCCAGUUCGCUUUGGCUGACUUUAGAGACAAAAGUUUAGUGAAAACUAAAGAAUAUAAACAAGCUUUUGCCUUUGAUUUUCUGGUUUUUUGUCUUUGUGGUUCUCGAUUUGGGCCAUAGUAGGAUUGUUAGGCAAUGUUUGGCUGUCUCCACAUAUCCAUAACAUCUAGAUACAGUUUCAUCCUUACCGCCCAAAUCUGAUAGUUUUCACCAUUAAAGAAAUGUGUUGCAACUCGAUUGACUUACUAUUAAGGAAGAAUAUAAAAAUCAGGUUAGGCUACCCACAAAACUCAACAGAGUUACGACUCAGAGCUUCCACAGCCUCGUGAUAUCAUUCAUAGAGUUACCAAAUGAUAUCCGCCACAAAAUUCUCUUCUUUAACUCUGCAACUUGGUGCGACAGUUCCGUCCCCUGUGCAAGUUUCUGUCUACUGGUAUUAGUGUCCGUAAUGUCAUUGUUAAAGAGGUCCUCGACAAUGAAAAAAACAUUUUGCUGAAUCAACUUUCCAAUCACACAAAGAUAACGAUCACAGAUUUGAUCCCCGUCUAGUGCAGGCAAUUUCACUGUGGCUUCGUCCCCCUAGAUAUUGUCAGCACAACUUUUAACAACUUAGGAUGAUAAAAGAGUUCUAAAAAAGGGAGCCACGAAGAAUCGCUGACCUUCCAUUACCUAUGAUGCUAAGAUUUGAGUCCAGAUUAAUAUAUUUCAUUUUCGUUUGAUGUAAAUAUUCAUCCUCACACACUAACAAAAAAUAAUUAGAUGAAUACAAGGUUAAAAAUGCUCAGGCCGAUGAAUCAAGCAGAUAUAACAGAGGAAAACAGAGACGAUAUCUGUUUUUUAUUGAACCAUCAAUUUUCAUGGGAAAACCAACAACGAGAACAGUCUGCCUGUGGUCGAGGAGGCUUCUCUAUUGGAAGUGCCUGAAAAAUAAAGCAUGAAGAAGCUUCGCUAAGUAUACAUAAAAGAGUAGAGCCGACACAUCACAAGUACAUUGUAGACGUUAGCAAAAACAAACAAACUGCAACAUCGAGGUGUAUUAUUAGACAAUUACCAUUGGAACUGCAACUGAUAUUGUCUUGUAUCCGAUUAGAGGAUCUUGAAAUCUUUCAAGAAAUAAUGCCAGCAUA
rnacentral:lncRNA from 1 species